UCAAGCUAUAAAGAGCGUAGGGAGAAUGACUUGGCAUCAGGAGCCGAAGAAGGACGUGACAAGCUGCGAAAAGCUGCGGUUAGGAGCAAAUAUCCAUAGACCCGCAGAUAUCCGAAUGGGGAAACCCGGUACGGCAAUACCGUAUCACUGCAUGGUAAAUACAUAGCCAUGUGGAGGAAACCCUCUGAACUGAAACAUCUAAGUAGGAGGAGGAAGAGAAAGAAACAUCGAUUUCCUAAGUAGCGGCGAGCGAAAGGGAAAGAGGCCAAACCAGAGAUAGCAAUAUCUUUGGGGUUGCGGACUGCAAAAUUGAUUCAAUAUUUUUAGCAGAAGUGUAUGGGAAGACACACCAUAGUAGGUAAUAGUCCUGUAAGCGAAAAGGAUAUUGACAAGGCAGGAUCCAGAGUACCACCGGACACGAGGAACCCGGUGGGAAGCCGGGGGGACCACCCCCCAAGCCUAAAUACUACCUGAUGACCGAUAGUGAAAAGUACAGUGAUGGAAAGUUGAAAAGAACCCCGGAAGGGGAGUGAAAAAGAAUCUGAAACCCUAUGUUUACAAGCUGCUAAAGCACCAUAUGAGUGCGAUAGCGUACUUUUUGUAGAACGGUCCGGCGAGUGUAUGUUGCAAGCGAGGUUAAGGUGUUAAGCACUGAAGCCGAAGGGAGACCGAGUGUGAAUAGCGCGUACAGUUUGCAGUAUACGACCCGAAACCGGGUGACCUAACCAUGGACAGGUUGAAGUGGAAGUAAAAUUCCAUGGAGGACCGAACCCACGUCUGUUGAAAAAGGCGGGGAUGAGCUGUGGUUAGCGGUGAAAUUCCAAUCGAACUCGGAUAUAGCUGGUUCUCAUCGAAAUAGCUUUAGGGCUAGCCUCAGGAUAGUUUAGCGGAGGUAAAGCACUGAAUGGGCUAGGGGGCUUCACGGCUUACCGAACCCUAUCAAACUCUGAAUGCCGCAUAAAUGUUUCCUGGGAGUCAGACUGCGUGAGAUAAGUUUCGUAGUCAAAAGGGAAAGAGCCCAGACCUACAGCUAAGGUCCCUAAAUGAAUUUAAGUGGAAAAGGAUGUGCAGUUGCGUAGACAACUAGGACGUUGGCUUAGAAGCAGCCACUCAUUUAAAGAGUGCGUAAUAGCUCACUAGUCGAGUGAUUGUGCGCCGAAAAUGUAACGGGGCUAAAAUUCAUACCGAAGCUUAGGAAUGAUAGUAAUAUUGUUGGUAGAUGAGCGUUGUGUAAGUCUGCGAAGCUACACCGAAAGGAGUAGUGGAGAUAUCACAAGUGAGAAUGCCGGAAUGAGUAGCGAGAAUUAUGUGAGAAUCAUAAUGGUCGAAAAUCUAAGGUUUCUUGAGGAAGGUUCGUCCGCUCAAGGUAAGCCGGGAGCUAAGGCGAGGCCGAGAGGCGUAGUCGAUGCACAUACGGUAAAGAUUCCGUAGCCACCGAAGUCGUUAAAUACAGGGACACAGGAACAUAGCCUAACCCCACCGUUGGUUGAGUGGGGCGUAAGGGAGCGAAAAUUAGUAGCGAAGUGGGUGAUUGUACACUGGCGAGAAAAGCUGUAUGAAUUGACAAGGUGCCCGUACCGCAAACCGACACAGGUAGAUGAGGAGAGAAUCCUAAGACCAGCGGGAGAAGUGUUGUUAAGGAACUCGGCAAAAUGACCCCGUAACUUCGGGAUAAGGGGAGCCUACGAGAGUAGGCCGCAGAGAAUAGUCUCAAGCGACUGUUUAGCAAAAACACAGGUCUAUGCUAAAUCGAAAGAUGAUGUAUAUGGGCUGACGCCUGCCCGGUGCUGGAAGGUUAAGGGGAAGUGUUAGAGCAAUCGAAGCACUGAACUUAAGCCCCAGUAAACGGCGGCCGUAACUAUAACGGUCCUAAGGUAGCGAAAUUCCUUGUCAGGUAAGUUCUGACCCGC
rnacentral:rRNA from 1 species